rnacentral:rRNA from 1 species
GAUCCUGGCUCAGGAUGAACGCUGGCGGCGUGCUUAACACAUGCAAGUCGAACGAAGCUGCUUAACUGAUUUUCUUCGGAAUUGACGUUUUGUAGACUGAGUGGCGGACGGGUGGAGUAACGCGUGGGUAACCGUGCCCUCGUACAGGGGGAGUAACAGUCAGAAAAUAGACUGCUAAUAACCGCCAUAAGACCACCAGCACCGCCAUGGUGGCAGGGUAAAAGAACGUCGGUGAGAGNGCGCCG